rnacentral:rRNA from 1 species
UACAGAGGGGGGCAAGCGUUGUUCGGAAUUACUGGGCGUAAAGGGCGCGUAGGCGGCCUUCUAAGUCGAACGUGAAAUCCCCGGGCUCAACCCGGGAACUGCGUCCGAUACUGGAAGGCUUGAAUCCGGGAGAGGGAUGUGGAAUUCCAGGUGUAGCGGUGAAAUGCGUAGAUAUCUGGAGGAACACCGGGUGGCGAAGGCGACAUCCUGGACCGGUAUUGACGCUGAGGCGCGAAAGCCAGGGGAGCAAAGCGGGG